rnacentral:rRNA from 1 species
UGCUUUGAUGAAGUUUUCGGAUGGAUUUAAACAGCUUAGUGGCGGACGGGUGAGUAACGCGUGGGUAACCUGCCUCACACUGGGGGAUAACAGUUAGAAAUAGCUGCUAAUACCGCAUAAGCGCACAGUACCGCAUGGAACAGUGUGAAAAACUCCGGUGGUAUGAGAUGGACCCGCGUCUGAUUAGGUAGUUGGUGGGGUAACGGCCUACCAAGCCGACGAUCAGUAGCCGACCUGAGAGGGUGACCGGCCACAUUGGGACUGAGACACGGCCCAAACUCC